GUCCUUCAAGUAGUUUUUUAAAAGGGUACUUCAGAAAGUUCUUGGCCUCACCUAGAAACAAGGUUUGCAACUGCAUAACUGUAAAUUAUUAAGCUUUAUGUCAUAUAUAGCAGCACUUGUCCCCCCCAAAAGAAAGAAAAUCAUCAAUUAGGUGGUCAGAAAAGUAACAUUUAACAUUUUUUUCCCCUAUGAAUUCAACUAAUAUUUUAUGAAGAUACUUCAAAAAAGUUCUCGCCUCACCCAGAAAGAAGGUAACGCCUUUCGAAAAUCAUGAGACUGAAACCAGCUGACGUCUAUGGUUUACACUAUGUACUGGACAGACACGCUGCAGUGAAUGGCCUCCACUUGAUCGAUUUUGGAUGUCUUGACUGUGGAUCAUCUCUUCUUCUUCUGCUUAAGCUCAGCCAACCCACUUCUUUAGCAAGCCUCACCCUAACUGAUCGAGGCAGAUGACCCCCUCCUUGAGCCUGGUUCUGCUGGAGGUUUCUUCCUGUUAAAGGCCUCCGUUGACUCGUCCCGCCUGCCGUCUCUGGAGCUGAAGCUGGAUUGGAACAGACCAAAGUACAGUCCAAUCACGAUGCCAGCUGCCUCUCAAAAGGCUCCUUCAUCUGGCAGGUGGCGCCACUUCUUCUGAGGGGAAGCUGAGCUGGCCCGGCAGAACUUUGGAGAUGUGUUCCAGUGGUUGGUGGAUGUGUGGGGAGAUAGAGAGGGACCUUUGAAUUGUUCAGAAAGGAAAACAGGGAACCCAUUGGUAGUUUUAGUUUAGGGUGCUACUGCGGUGUGUUUUUGGGCUUGAAGAGGUGAACAGGAAGAGUUUUUUUUCUGUAUUGAUUAUCUUUUACUUUGUUGCUGGUUGGAAUGCCCAUCAAUGUCAACAUGAAGUUCACUUUUAGUUCUGUUUAUUUAUUUUUAUUUUACUAACACUCAUUUGUUUUUAACCCCCUC
ensembl:lncRNA